AUCUUCUUGGGAGGAAGAAGACACUGGGAGGAGGGGGGAGAGAGAGAGAAGAGAGUCACGAUUCUGGUGAUUCUUCUGGAAAUGGCCUUCUUAUUUACCAAGAGGGAGGAUUCUCCCGGCCAGGAGUCCUUGUUUACAGCGCAUGAUCCAAGACAACAAGACACUACUCUUCUCCUCCUGGGAUCCAAAGGGGAAUGAACGUCCCUCUCUCACCUGAAGGCUCAUCUCUAGAUCAAUUUAUAUGAUCCAGUCCUACAUCACUGUGAUAAAUUCCUCACUGCUCCUGGAGUCCUGUACAAACAGCAAUUUGCAAUUUAGGGGCAGAAGAUUCUAGAAGAAAGUUUUAAAAUGGGAUGUGGGUGUUUCCUGUGGACUAUUACUUCCUUUUGUCAUCAAUUAAGUCAAAAGCUCUCCAUUAUUCUGAAGACACCAACAUUUCAAAUGGGAAGUUAUACCAACUUAUGACUAUUAAUGUUUUUUUUAAUAAGGAUAAAAACACUAUAUAAAAACAGUGAGAUUCUGGAUUGUGGCAGCUCAAAUGGUGAUGGCUCAAGUGUGGAAAGCAGGACUUAAAUCAUUCAUUACUAUUUUCAUCCUAUAAGAAGAUCAAAUAUAUAGGUGCUAUGGAAAUAUAUUCCUACAUAAUAUUUUAUUAGUUAAGGGGAAAACUAAGCCAGAUGUGUUUUGUCCAAAAUAGCAUAUGUUUAUUCAGUGUUAAUGAUGUAAAUACAGUCAGUUUUUCCAAAUAAAUAUGGAGCACAAUGAUUACAAUAAAGGGAAGUUUGAAAGGAAAUGAUUACCUUGGAUAUUGUGCUUGAUUAUAAACUUUAUUUUUAUACUAUUUUAAUAAAAAUGAAGGUAGGAGACUUGAA